ACGCUCGACACCUACGGGGGGCAGCAGUAGGGAAUCUUCCGCAAUGGACGAAAGUCUGACGGAGCAACGCCGCGUGAACGAUGAAGGUUUUCGGAUCGUAAAGUUCUGUUGUUAGGGAAGAACAAACUUCGUUUGAAUAAGGCGGAGUCAUGACGGUACCUAACGAGAAAGCCACGGCUAACUACGUGCCACAGCCGCGGUAAUCUGAGCGGGCUGGCAAGGC
rnacentral:rRNA from 1 species